CUGCGGCGGGCGCAUCACGUGGUCGGGUCCUAUUUCCGGUGCGAGGACCGUUUCUGACCUCGAGUGACCCUAACCGUUUUACCCCCGCUGCUCGGGAGACGGCUCACCGCUAGCCGGUUCCCGCGCUCUCAGGAGGCUGGUUUGGCUGCUCUAGCGCCAGAAAAGGUCUGUGCUGUGACCCUUUUUCUCCCUCGUGGAUGCGCUAGAAGCAGUUGAGGAGUGACUUGGCUUAAUGGCUCCCGCUCGGGAGCGGGGUGGCGGGGAAGGAGGAUUUUCCUGAGGGAAGAGAAAAUAGUUACUUCCCGGGCAAAGCGAGUGUACGCCGCAGUUUCAGCAGCGCUGCGGCUGGAGUGGUUCGGUACGGUUCCGGGUGGUUUGGGAUGGUUCCGGCUGGUUCGGGGUGGUUGCACUUGGUUCCGGGUGGUUCCCCCUGCCCCUCCUGGGCCAGCUCGUUGGCGCUUCUGAGAAUUGGCCGCUUGUUGGCGGCUUGGUGCUGACUUUGUGGUAACAGGUGAUCGUUUUUCCAUCCUCUCUCUUUCUUGGCAGGUGUGGGGGGAGGUUGGGGGGGGCGGGAGACGAUCAGACUUUAUAUAGACUUUUGAGUGUAAAGAAUCUAUUAACUGGAGAGUUGGUUCGUUAUAACGUGUUUUGUGAUGCAACCGUUGAUUCUGAGGCUUUGAUCGUAAGUGCGAUUGAUCAAAGACAGCUUCAGCGCAAAGAUGUGGCUUGAGCGGGGUCCUUUGACAGCUCGCUCUGUCGGGGACUGCCUCUCUGCCUCGGCCUGGCUCUCCCGGAGGUCGGGCUGCUCCAGUUUGAACCUGCUUUAAUGUUUACGAAUCGUGAUUUUACAAGCAGCUUUUCUGCACGGAGUUUUAGAAAGCUGGGCCAUGGAAUCGAGUGUGGCCGGCUUUAUCCCCCGUCUGGCAGACUCUGUGCUCUCUCAAGUUUGCUGCGGACAGAAGGGCUACUUUUGAGUCCUGACGGGAUUUUUAGAAAGUAAUCAAUGUGUUGACACAGUUUAUUGGGAAAAGAAAAAAUCUAGAGUGGGCUUGCUGUUGUAAUCUGCCCUAUUUACUGAGAAUUUUGGGGUGAAACGCUGUUUUCAUCUGUCGUCAUUGUGAUACGCGGAUGGCAAGUGAAUGCCUUGCACCUUGGGAGGCAGAAGCCUCAGGUGACUUUUGAAAAAUGACUUUGAUGUAUCUUAAAUGUGUCUUUCUAAAAACCCGAUGUUUAGAUUUCCUAUCAUAAAAUGUAAAUGAGCUUCCUAUUAAGUAAACUUAUUUAGCAGGAUUUUGAAUUUAACCACUGACAUUCAUUUUAAAUAAUCUAGUCAUAGUUGGGCUCUAGGAAAAUUGUUGCAGAAACUUAACGUGUGGGGAGAAGUGAAGGGGAACUGAAACUUAGGCUUUGCCUGCUAUAAACCAAACAUGACGCCUAGUGCUCAACUGUCAUUGGGUCCCACACAACCCUGUCAGGUAGCCGUUACUCCAACUUUAUAGGUUAAAAAGUUGAGGCGCAGAGGGGUUAAAUCCCUAAGACAAAAUAGCAAGUUUUGCAGUUCCGAUUCCGACUCUUUAUUAAAGCCUGUUUCUUUGCACAUGCCCCACUGCUUUAAAUUCGUUUGGGGGAAAUGGUUGCUCUCUCUGCAGUGUAAGGGUACAGUGUGAAGGAGAACUAUGUUGUGAUGCUGAGGAUUAGUUGUCAAGGCGUUCAAUAACAGCUAGAGUCAGUGGGAGGAUGUUGUGAAUACCUACAGAGCAGCAGCCAGCGGUGGGGGCUCUGUGAAAUAAAUCACGGCCUAUUUGCAAGAUAGGAAACAUAAGAAGUGACUACGGUAUAUCUAAAGUUAUUGAUUUGGAAAGACUUCUUUUACAUUUACUUUUGUCUCUUUUUGAGCUUUAGACCAAUUGAAUCACACACUGUAUUCUUUUCUGUGUGUUGAGCUUUUGCCCCACGUUUUGGUUGUGAGAUUCAUCCUGGUUGGGUGUAGCAAGAGUUGGUUUAUUCUCAUUGCCAUGUAGUCUUCCUUUGUAUGAAAACACCAUGGCUUAAGUAUUCAUAACUUGUAUUAGUCUUAUCAUCAGAAAAAAUAGUCUAAAAAAGUAAAACUUAAGUUACAGCUCAAAUUGGAGGUACUUAAUAACUUGAAGUUAUCCCACAAUAUUAGACUACAUUUAUCUAAUUUGAGGGUUAGAUUUGCUUCCAGCAUUUACUCUGUAGCCUUUAUCUUGUGAGGCAUUCACUUCACAAUUUCCAACCGUUUGAUCUCGAUUCGUAUCCCUACGUGUGAGCAAUAAAGCCCUUUCUAUUCUGAGUCACUAAUGGAAGAAUUGUUUUGUUGCUCUCUAAAAAUUCAGCCAGGACUCCAGUUCAACUUGAGUUGGCAUUUUAAGAACAUGCCCAUAUUAAGUUUAAUAAGGCAGUAAGUGUGUAAAGUAACUCUUUUAUGCAUUGCUUUUCAGGAAAAAAAGUUUAACCAGUCCUAGGUGAUCAAGCAAGUUUCACAAAUAACCCCCCCCAGCAAGUGUAAAAAUAAUUAGGCCCAAUUCAGAGGAAGUGGAGUUACUCCUGUUGCACACAAAAGAUGUCUAGUGGCUCCAGUGAAGUCGACGUGGUUUGUAUUUCAAAUUGAAAGUCUUUGUUCUUUUCAUUGUGUUCUGUUUCUUUCCUAAAUUGAAUUUAAUUUCAUACAGUGAAAUGCAGAGGUUGUAAAUGUACAGUUCAUGAGUUUUAGACAUUAAUAUAUACAGCUGCUAUGAACAAUGUGUACAAGUUUUUAAGUUUUACCCUGCCAAGAGUCAUUUUUUCCCUCUGACUCUUUUCACAUGAUGAUGUGAAAGCACUGUGAAAGGCCUAAGGCACUAUACAAAGGAAAGUGUUGUGUCUGACACAGCCUACAAUGAAGAGCAACAAAAAACAGUUCUGGACGUCCUUACUCACUGCCAGGCCAUCCAAGAUGCCAUUCAAAACCUGGAUAAGAAGUUUGAUGUUAUUCACGGAAAGGUUUCAAAAAUCCAUCGUCUUCGUAUGAAGUCAUUGUGGCAAAAUCGUAAGCUACUUGGAUAUGCAUAUAAAACUUACCUGCUUUCUAGAAAGAGCAAAGUGCACAGAGUUAGGAGAAGGGAGUCUCCCGCUGUAUUCUCCUACCCUGAAAGUUACAGCCCAACCACGCCAGUAGCCAGACGAGAAAAUGAUUCUGAGAGCUACCCUAUGGGAACACCUUGUCCCUCCGAGGGUUCCCCGGAACGAGAGCAGGAGUCAUUCUUCCACGACCAGGAGCCAGGCUACAGCCAGAGCCCACCACUGCCCUCCUUCUACCCUACGGAUUCCUACCAGUCCUACUACACACCCGAUGAUCCGAUGCAGGACUCCUCUUCCAUGCCUUGCUACGGCAGCCCGGGGGCCCGCAGCUCCUGCAGUUUCUUCUCAGCCACCCAAGCUAAUGCAGCAGUACCUGGCACCAUGCUGGCCCAGGGGGAACCCAGCCCAGCACAUAACCCUGAGAUGAUGGGCUACCCAGCUUUAGGGGAAGAUAACCUCAGUCAGAAUGCCGCCUCUCUCUGUGUCCCGGGCAGCUACGCUCCAAGUUCACCAGUUGGAAAUGACACAGAUGUUCUGAAACAAACCUACUCCAGUGAGCCUUCAACCUGGUCUGUGGAUGAAGUGAUUGUGUUUCUGCAAAGUAUAGAUCCUCAGCUAUCAGACUCCCUCGCCGACCUCUUCAGGCAACAUGUAAUGUAUCUUUUGAUCCGGUUUUCCUGCCGUAAUGCCUUUGAAUGACCUCUGUGCAGGCCCUUCAGUUGGAUAUUGAUUAGUGUGGAUGGUGGGGGAACCCUAUCAACUGAUUUUUCUGUAUGUGAGAAAGUUUAUUUUGCCCAGAGUUAAAUGGUAGAGGCUGGAUCUGUGCUUUGAAUGGGUUCCCAAGUACCUAAAAGACUACAAGUCUUCAAGUUCUCAAGAGAAGAUGAUUCGGCCUGGCCACUCUCAGGUGUCUUCUCCUUUGUAACAACAACUACAAGGAUCCUCCUCCCCACCUGCUCCCUGCUGGGCCCCAGGACCGUGAGUAGGAGGGGGUGACCACAGCUUUGACAGAGUGUCCUCCUUGUUACCAUGUCCCACAAAUGCAGUCACUGAUUCAUUUUGGCUCGGUUUUGUUGACCUUAUAUGGUUAUUGACCAUUUGGGAUGCCAACACCCUCAUAGCAUUUACAAAAAGUAGCAUCAGGGGCUAAAUUUUUAGAAGUUAUCGUUUCUCGUUUUACUUAGUAGAAAAUGUAUAGAAGAUACUUGACAAAGGCAGUACUUUGACGGAUUUCAGUUCUCUUCAGAAGUUUUAUUCUUAAACCAGAACUCAUGAAAACCAAAUAAUAGGUUUUGGCCACAUCAGUUGCUCAGUUAAUGUAAUAAAGAAUUUUAAGAGGACGCCUUGUGACUAUGAAGUAAUAUUUCUAGUGUUUCGUAAUGAAUAAAAUCAGUGCCCAUAUAGCUGAUGUACCCUUCUCAAUAUGGUAAGAAAGCCAGUAACUCCUUUUUAGCAUCUGAUGAGCUUUUAGCAGUAGGAUAGCACCGUACGGCACCCUGAGAGCAGACCUGCUCCUAUUCUCAGCCCUUCGAAGAAGGUAAAUAACCAGCUGCAGUUCAUUUCUACCAUUCAGAGUGUUUUACUCUUUUGUCGUAGCUGUGCAGUAUUUUAUUGAACACAUGGUAUUUGAAAUGAAGUGGUUUGAUGCUUAGGACAUUUUUAAUAUAUUAAGUUAAUUUCCUUUUUCUUACAAUUUGAAGUAAAUUUGCCAAUGAUUAAGUGAUACUUCAGUGUUCCAAUUAUAUUUUUAAUAGUUUUCAUCAAGCAGUUGCAUAUUCAGAGAAUAUACAGCUGGAAUGAGCUGCUUUCUGAUUGGUGUUACAUGUUCUUACAUAUGAAGGAAUAACCAUUCUAAUAAAAUAUGAAAGCAUUAUUAAUUAUUUUAAUUUCCUUCUCUUCUGUAGGACAUUGAUGGGAAGGCUCUGCUACUCCUCAAGAGUGACAUGAUGAUUAAGUACAUGGGGCUAAAACUAGGGACAGCCGUGAAGUUGUGCCACUACAUUGAAAGGCUUAAAGGAAAAUACUUCAACAAUUGAAAAGCUGUUUAUAGAUUAGAUUAGACUUAAUUCUGGGGAGACCAUUGCUCCCCAGAAAAAUUGUCAUUUUUCUGCCCUUAGAUGUUUUUCUUACGUAAGAGAUUGCUCUAAAUAUGUAUCCAGAGUCGCAGAACCAUGUUACAGUCCAGCCCACCCCUUUAGAAGCCAUUUCACAUGUUAGUGCUAGCAUUUUCACGCUGCUUGUUUGUUCUUUAUACCUUCAUUCUUUUCAUUGUAUAGUUUACAGAUAUACUUUGUGCAGGAAACAGAAACACCUUUGAUUGUGGUUAAUUAAUGGUUAUCUGUAAAACUACAACAGCUAAAUCCCAAAGAGGAAGGUCUCAGAGACUGACAGGUUCUCUAAUGAAAUCCACGAGGUGUUUUCCUUCGAAGCGUCUUAAAAGAUGCAACUAUCGACAUCAUCUCUUUCUCAAAUACUUUGUCACUGCAGUGUUCUGUUCAUGUUCUACCCGUUUCCAGAAAGGAAUAGCCAUAUAAAUUAUUUUCCUUUUGUUAUCAUUUCUCUAUGUUUUAUCUGGUCCUAUUUAAAGGGGGGAACAAGCAACCUUAUAAGCUUUCAUGAAGAGUUCUUAUCAACUUUUUACAAUAAGGUAGAUAGAUAGCAGAGUUGUUUUAUGCAAGAGGUAUUACAUUACAGGUGGCUUGGGUGGAGUCUGAUUUUAUUCUUCCAGUUAAAUACCUGUGUUUUAAAACUCCCAUAUUGUGCCUCAGCUUGAUUUUUUAACUAGGCAGGCAUUCACUUCUCGCUCUCACUGAAGAUGCCUAGGUUCUAAUUUUUAAAAGAUACGUGUUUUAUUCUUCAUGUGGAUACUGGUUCAUAUUUAUAUUUUAUUCUCUAUCGGAAGUGUUCACACAAGUCUUUUCUUUUUGAAUUGAAAACGGCACUUUACACUUGCACAGAGGUAAAGAUGAACUCCCUACAUAGUGAGAUGCCUUUAUUCUGUAAAACAUGUGCACACCCUUUGCUGCCAUUGGUCCCUCUGGGCUUACGCUUCAGUUUCCAUACAGGGAAGUUCUCAGCCUUGUGCAGUGUUCCUCGUUAAUUUGCUUUCUGAGCCGUUUAUCCUACUAAACUUUCCAAGAUACUUUAGCUCUGAUUUGUCAUGUUGACCUUUAUUUUACAUAGCAGAACUUUCUAGUGAAACAUGCUCAUCGUUGUUAUUUUGUUAUUUAUUACAUCUUUAAUUGUAUAAUAUUUGAGGUAAUGUUUAUAAGCUAUAACAAUUGGUGCUUAUUUUAAUUGGUGCUAAUAAGAUGUUCACCAGGGCAAGAGUAUUUAUUUUCUUUCAAGGAAACCACGUGUACUUUAUAAGCAAAUGCAACCAUUUAUUGGGCAUAUAUGAUUUAAAGGAUGGUUUUUUUUUCUGUUAUUCCUUUUGUGAUAAACAAGAUCCUAGUUAAACUUGGUCUUUGAGAUUGUGUAAAGAUGCUGUGCCCAUUUGAACAGUCCUCAGGAGUUUGUAUGAAUACUGUGUUAUUUUUAUAGUUUUUAGAUUUUAAAAUAAAGUUUAAUAACCACAACCAUUAA